AUUACUGAAUGAUUGCUUAACUCCAGGUUUCAUUUUGGUUCUGGAGACAUGGUCGUGCAUUGGUGCAUAAGGGAGUGUUCGUGAUGGCGAAUGAGCCCAGUAAGAUUUUAUCAUGACUACUGAAAAGCAUGCCACAUAUGAUUUCCAGUUUUUGAUGGAGCAACAAAAAUAUGACCCCAAUUUCCACUCAUUAUCAGAGAGCUGAAUUCUAAAUCAACGAUUGUGGAGAAGAGAUGUGCAAGUUGAAUAAAACAUUUCCAGAAGAGCCUGAAUAAUGGUCCUGAAUAAAGGGAAACUGAAAUGUGCUUGAAUUGUAAUUGGAGAAAAAUCAAGUGUGUGUACUCAGGAGCACAUCUACUAAGAAGAGACUGGCGUACCUUCAGUCUUUAGCCUACCGUGUUGCCAAUGGAAACACACGAUUAAAGGAGACAUGCGUUGAGACAUUCACCAGCCCUCAGGAUGCCACAGGCAGGCACAGACACAGAACUACAUCCACGGGAAGGGAGGAGGCCUGUGUCUAUGGAAGAAAACCGGACUGUUCUUCUGAACCUCCUGCACAAUCUGCCAGAUGCACGUGAGUGGUUUCACCUCUUCAGAUCACCUCCUGUGGCUAAGCGCUGAGAGAAAGAUCAGCUACCUAGUUUUCCAGGCUUGGUGCAAGGUGAAAAUGUAGGACCGCUUUCUUCAAAUAGCGGGAAACAAAUGCUAGCCAAGUUAGUUUUAUCCUAUAAACUGUGGAAAAUUCUGAAAGAGAUGGGAAUACCAGACCACCUAACCUGCCUCUUGAGAAACCUAUAUGCAGUUCAGGAAGUAACAGUUAGAACUGGACAUGAAACAAUAGACUGGUUCCAAAUAGGAAAAGGAGUCCUUCAAGGCUGUAUAUUGUCACCCUGCUUAUUUAACUUCUAUGCAGAGUACAUCAUGAGAAACGCUGGAUUGGAAGAAACACAAGCUGGAAUCAAGAUU
ensembl:lncRNA